GAACGCACCUUGCGCUCCUUGGUAUUCCGAGGAGCAUGCCUGUUUGAGUGUCAUGAAAUUCUCAACUACUUUUUUAACAUUUUAUGUGUUAAGGGUGAAGUUGGAGUUGGAGGAUAAUUGCUGGCGCAACUCUUGUCUAAGGUUGCUUGUUGGCUCCUCUUGAAUGGAUGAGCUUUUCUAAUGGAUCAUAGCUCAGUAACACUAAUGUGAUAAUUAUCUACGUUAGAUGUGAAAACUAUGAGUAGAGUGGAAGCUCCUAUAGAAAAGAAGAUAAUAUGUCUUGGGUGAUAACAAACCCUUGAACUUUGACAAAUCUGACCUCAAAUCAGGUAGGACUACCCGCUGAACUUAAG
rnacentral:misc_RNA from 1 species